rnacentral:rRNA from 1 species
CCUACGGGAGGCAGCAGUGAGGAAUAUUGGUCAAUGGACGAGAGUCUGAACCAGCCAAGUCGCGUGAAGGAUGACUGCCCUAUGGGUUGUAAACUUCUUUUAUCUGGGAAUAAAAUGUUCCACGUGUGGGAUUUUGUAUGUACCCUAUGAAUAAAGCUCCGCUUACUCCGUGCCCGCCGCCGCGGUAAUACGGAGGAUCCGAGCGUUAUCCGGAUUUAUUGGGGUUAAAGGGAGCGUAGGUGGAGUUUUAAGUCAGUUGUGAAAGUUUGCGGCUCAACCGUAAAAUGGCAGUUGAAACUGGCAGUCUUGAGUACAGGAGAGGUGGGCGGAAUGCGUGGUGUAGCGGUGAAAUGCUGAGAUAUCACGAAGAACUCCGAUUGCGAAGGCAGUUUACUGGAGUGCAACUGACACUGAGGCUCGAAAGUGUGGGGAUCAAACAGGAUUAGAUACCCUGGUAGUC